rnacentral:rRNA from 1 species
CCUACGGGGGCAGCAGUGGGGAAUAUUGGACAAUGGGCGAAAGCCUGAUCCAGCCAUGCCGCGUGUGUGAAGAAGGCCUUCGGGUUGUAAAGCACUUUCAGUGGGGAAGAAAGCCUUGGGGCUAAUACCCUCGAGGAAGGACAUCACCCACAGAAGAAGCACCGGCUAACUCCGUGCCAGCAGCCGCGGUAAUACGGAGGGUGCGAGCGUUAAUCGGAAUUACUGGGCGUAAAGCGCGCGUAGGCGGUCUGAUAAGCCGGUUGUGAAAGCCCCGGGCUCAACCUGGGAACGGCAUCCGGAACUGUCAGGCUAGAGUGCAGGAGAGGAAGGUAGAAUUCCCGGUGUAGCAGUGAAAUGCGUAGAGAUCGGGAGGAAUACCAGUGGCGAAGGCGGCCUUCUGGACUGACACUGACGCUGAGGUGCGAAAGCGUGGGUAGCAAACAGGAUUAGAUACCCUGGUAGUC